GUUGCGAGUUGGGCAACUGAAGGAAGCCGGUGGCAAACCUCUGACCGUGGCGGACAGAAACUUCAUACAAGGCAUUUGAUUGUGGAUGGGAUUGUCAUACAGUUCAAAGUCCCAUUGCUGUUCGGAACGGUUGGUGUAAACUAUACGACG
rnacentral:ncRNA from 1 species